UUUCACCGUCCUUGUCUCAUAUUGCUGCAAGUUUUCACGAUAUUCUGUUUUAUUUGAAAUUUCUUUGUGGUUAGUAUUUUUGUUGUUAUUAGAUGAUAAAAUAUGAAUAGUACUUUAUGCGUGACUUAUAUUUUUUAAUUAUUUUAUAAUAUUUUUAAUAAGACGAACGGUCAAAUAUUAGACACAGAAACUCACGACUACACUUAAA
rfam:Oryza sativa (indica cultivar-group) chromosome 12, whole genome shotgun sequence.